GUGACUGCCCGCCCUCACAACGGCCCGUUUUCUUCCCAGUGCUCUGAACUUUUGGGCAAAUGUGUCAAGUGUGUACACAGACAAAGCCUCACUUCAAAGCUCGUGUUCAGGGCCCUUAAAGUCAUAGUUAUUGCAAAACUGCGGCCGUCUGGCGAACCUGCCUUAUGUAAGGGUGCUUGAACGUAUGAUUCACCAAACAUUUCCGCAGACAUCGCAAAGUUGUUGGAGCCAGAGUAGGAGAAAGACCACCCAUUUGAGAUCAUGGCUUGACAGGUCUCACAGGACAACUCAUCUCUCCACCUCUAUCCCCGUUUGGCGAGGCCUGUAUUUCGUGCCGUUUUUUUUUGGGGGGGGGCGGGGGAGUGGGGGGGGGUCAAGUUAACUCAUCUUUCAUGAUUUGUCUUAGGGAACACUCCCUCCUGCCACCAGAAUGGGACCAAUCUAGACAUCUCUUCUCUGGCUUCCUUGUGCCUGGCCUUUUUUGGAGGGUUGGGAUAGUGGCCUGUCUUCAUGCAUGGUGAGAUAACACCAACAUCGAAGGAAGAUCUUUGCCACAGAGGAUCCUAGUUCCAGCUCCCAGAAUGACACUUUAACGGGAAAUCAUCUGAUUUUCUUUUUCUGGCCGUGAGACUAAUGGAAGUUUUCAUGUGAGUGUCCAAAGAGAUGAUCUUGGAGUCUGGGAUACAACCAAGGAAGCACGUCUGCCUGCACAUUAUGAUGCCUCCCACCAUGAUGACAAUGGACUAAAACCUCUGAAACUGUAUCGGCCCCAACGCCUCCUAUCUUGUGGAUCGAGUUCCUGUGGAGGAAGCUAACACAGCGGUAAGCAAAUGUGGACUGACAGAGGACACAGGGCCAUUCGAGAAACUGUCAGAAACUGAGAAUCACCUCAGAACACGCUGAGAAGGAGAGCUAAGGAGCUUCGGUUAAAUGGACUACGAGGACCCACGUCAUAGAGGGAAGUCUGUCUCACUGAUUCUGAUUUUUUUCAAAUAAAAUGUUUUCUUUAA
rnacentral:lncRNA from 1 species